GGAAAGCAGAACAAGCACGAGUGUCAUGGAAUUUUGGUGGCUUCCCUUCUCUGAUGCCUCUCACCAUUGCUUCGGUGGAGCCUUUUCACCAUCAGAGGUGAAAAUCAGAACAAACACGAAUGUUGUGGGAAUUUUUGAGCGUCGUGGAAUUUUUGCAGGCUUUCCUCCAGUGGAGCCUCUCACCAUUGCAGGUGGAAAGCAGAACAAGCACGAGUGUCAUGGAAUUUUGGUGGCUUCCCUUCUCUGAUGCCUCUCACCAUUGCUUCGGUGGAGCCUUUUCACCAUCAGAGGUGAAAAUCAGAACAAACACGAAUGUUGUGGGAAUUUUUGAGCGUCGUGGAAUUUUUGCAGGCUUCCCUCCGGUGGAGCCUCUCACCAUUGCAGGUGGAAAGCAGAACAAGCACGAGUGUCGUGGAAUUUUGGUG